rnacentral:lncRNA from 1 species
GUAGAAGCUGGAAUACAGAGUUGAUUAACAAUACCUUCACUGAAGCAGAUGCUGAAAGAAUCCUCAAGAUCCCGCUAACACGAUCACCGCAUGAAGAUUUUCCUAUUUGGGGAGGGGAGAAGUCGGGUGAAUUUACGGUACGAAGUGCCUAUCAACUAUUACAGAGAUCGAUUGAUAGUUUUAGAGCUUAUGCUUUACAAAUCCUCUACAGAAAAUUUUACAAAACACUUUGGAGCCUGAAUAUACCAACAAAAAUUAAGAUCACAAUAUGGCGGCUAUCAUGGAACUAUCUGCCUACAAAGGUAAAUCUACAACACCAGAAAUUAGCAGUCAACACAAGGUGCCCCCGAUGUGGAGAAGAAGCUGAAAUAAUGAAUCACUUAUUCCGUGACUGUGCUGUUACAAGAGAGGUAUGGAAAACAUUAUCACUUCAGAACAUUAUGAUGUAUCAAAGCGAGGAUUUUGUACAGUGGCUCACCUGGGCGCUAGAGCAGUUAAACCCAAAUCAAAGUCGACUCUUUUGCUGUGCACUAUGGGCCAUAUGGGGAGACAGAAUCAAAAGUCUACAUGAAGGAAAAGUUAGUAAUGGAAUAGAAGUUGCAAACUUUGUUAAUAGCUACAUCAUUGAGUUAACUGGUCUUGAACAAAGAAACUCAGAAACAAUGAAAGGAAAUUAGAGAUGGAAACACCCACAGUGGGAAUCCAUAAAGAUUAAUUUUGAUGGUGUAUAUAAUCAGAUUCAGAACCGGUCAGCCUCAGGUGUUGUGGCCAGAGACUCGGAAGGAAAAAUUCUUUUAUCCUGCUCAGAAAUCCACAAUGGAAUUCCAUCUGCUUAUGCUGCUGAAGCAAUUGCCUGUCGGAAAGCAGUCCAAGUAGGAGUUGACCAUGGUUGGCAGGCACUCAUUUUUGAAGGAGAUUCCCUCGCAAUAAUCAAGAAAUGCAACAAAAAGGAUCAUGACAGAUCAAUGGUAGGGGCAUAUAUUUAUGAUAUACAACAGAAAAUACAAGAAGUAAAAAAUAUCAGAUUUCUUCACACACCAAGAUCUGCAAACAACCUUGCACAUAUCCUUGCAACAGAGACGCUAAGAAGAGGAGAGGAAUUUUACCUGGAAAUGGGCGUUCCUGAAUAUGCAGAGAACCAAGCACGGCAUGAUGAGCUGAGCGAACCAGGUUAGGGAAGCAUCGAGAGAUGGAGUUUGGAAGAGAGAAAGUUUUCAGAGCAAUAAAGAAACAGAAAUGAUCUGCUAG